rnacentral:rRNA from 1 species
CACUCCUGCGGGAGGCAGCAGUGGGGAAUAUUGGACAAUGGGCGCAAGCCUGAUCCAGCCAUGCCGCGUGAGUGAUGAAGGCCCUAGGGUUGUAAAGCUCUUUCACCGGUGAAGAUAAUGACGGUAACCGGAGAAGAAGCCCCGGCUAACUUCGUGCCAGCAGCCGCGGUAAUACGAAGGGGGCUAGCGUUGUUCGGAUUUACUGGGCGUAAAGCGCACGUAGGCGGACUAUUAAGUCAGGGGUGAAAUCCCGGGGCUCAACCCCGGAACUGCCUUUGAUACUGGUAGUCUUGAGUUCGAGAGAGGUGAGUGGAAUUCCGAGUGUAGAGGUGAAAUUCGUAGAUAUUCGGAGGAACACCAGUGGCGAAGGCGGCUCACUGGCUCGAUACUGACGCUGAGGUGCGAAAGCGUGGGGAGCAAACAGGAUUAGAAACCCCGGUAGUCCCAUG